GGGCGGGUAGCUCAGUUGGUUAGAGCGCCUCCCUUACAAGGAGGAAGUCAGGGGUUCGAGUCCCUUUCCGCCCA
rnacentral:tRNA from 1 species